rnacentral:lncRNA from 1 species
CAUCAUUUUUUUUUACAAUACAAGUUUUUUAGGAAAAUGCUCUACAAUAAAAUGGACUCUACAAUGAAGAAUUUUGUGAAAUGGGUAUUUUUAUUGGCUUUCUUCAUCCUUAUAUCAGGUUAGAAAUCAUAAUUUAUUUCAGUAUAUAUGUUUUUCUUUUAUCGGCAAUAAAAAAUAAAUAAAUGGGAACCAUUUCAGGGUGGUUCAACCCUUAUACAUAAAGAGCAAAACACCUUACCAUACUCCUACCACGAAACGCCUACCGGUAUAUAUGUUCUACUUUCCAUUGUUUUCUCUCAAAUAAAUUUAUUUCAGUUUAUUUGUUGCAUGCAAGUUAUUCUUAUGCUCAUAUAUAUUCUUGAAUUUGCUCAUGUAGACAUGAGUAUGCGAUGCGAAGCAAGGAACUUAAGAUUAUUACAAAGGUAAGUCAAAAUAUGAUUUUCAUGAUCAAAUUGAGCAAUUUCUAUUAGUAAAUUAGAACACAAAAUUAUAACUUUUACACCCACAGUUUAAUUAGUUAAUGUUUUAUUUGAUUAUUGGUAUUUUUUAUAAGAUAGAUUUUUCAUGGGUUUUAAUGCAAAAAAAAUAAAAAAUAAAAUGAGUAUUUUCUUUAAAAAAAAGUACAAAUAAUAUUUUGAUGGGUUUUGACAGGUAUGUUGAUGAUGUAGAAUUGGGAAAAUUAGAAGGAAAGAGUUAUCCAAGAUCUUCUUCUAUUAUCUACUCUUUCAUUGGUAGGAAGAACACAUUCCACCACAUUCAUGCUGUUUCUAUGAGAAAAGUUCCUGAAGGACCAAAUCCUCUUCAUAAUUGAUCAUAUAAAUGGAUUCUGCUUGAAUAAGUUAUAAGACAUGAAUCUCACCACAUCACAAUAUUUUUUUUUUUAUCUCUAUAUCCAUUUCUCAGUAGUGCAAUCUACAGAAAAUAAAAUAUAUAUCAAGAAAUG